GGGAGACACACGGCGGGUGCUAACGUCCGUCGUGGAGAGGGAAACAACCCUGACCAACAGCUAAGGCCCCCAAUUCGUGGCUAAGUGGGAAAGGAUGUGGGAAUCCCAAAACAACCAGGAGGUUGGCUUAGAAGCAGCCAUCCUUUAAAGAAAGCGUAAUAGCUCACUGAUCGAGUCGUCCUGCGCGGAAGAUGUAACGGGGCUAAGCCAGUUACCGAAGCUGCGGAUGUGCAAUUUAUUGCACGUGGUAGGAGAGCGUUCUGUAAGCCUGUGAAGGUGGCGGUGUAAACCCUGCUGGAGGUAUCAGAAGUGCGAAUGCUGACAUGAGUAGCGUUAAAGGGGGUGAAAAGCCCCCUCGCCGUAAGCGCAAGGUUUUCUACGCAACGUUCAUCGGCGUAGAGUGAGUCGGCCCCUAAGGCGAGGCAGAGAUGCGUAGCUGAUGGGAAACAGGUCAAUAUUCCUGUACCGAUGUGUAGUGCGAUGUGGGGACGGAGAAGGUUAGCUCAGCCAACUGUUGGAUAUGUUGGUUCAAGCCUGUAGUCGUGCCUGGUAGGUAAAUCCGCCGGGCUUAGAUGAGGGGUGAUAACGAGUCUGCUUGCAGACGAAGUGAGUGAUACCCUGCUUCCAGGAAAAGCCACUAAGCUUCAGCUACACACGACCGUACCGCAAACCGACACUGGUGCGCGAGAUGAGUAUUCUAAGGCGCUUGAGAGAACUCAGGAGAAGGAACUCGGCAAAUUGACACCGUAACUUCGGAAGAAGGUGUGCCUUUAGUAGGUGAAGGGAUUUACUCCUGGAGCCCAAUGAGGUUGCAAAAAAUCGGUGGCUGCGACUGUUUAUUAAAAACACAGCACUCUGCUAAGACGAAAGUCGACGUAUAGGGUGUGACGCCUGCCCGGUGCUGGAAGAUUAAAUGAUGGGGUGCAAGCUCUUGAUUGAAGUCCCAGUAAACGGCGGCCGUAACGAUAACGGUCCUAAGGUAGCG
rnacentral:rRNA from 1 species